rnacentral:rRNA from 1 species
GACGAACGCUGGCGGCGUGCUUAACACAUGCAAGUCGAACGGAAAGGCCCUGCUUUUGUGGGGUGCUCGAGUGGCGAACGGGUGAGUAACACGUGAGUAACCUGCCCUUGACUUUGGGAUAACUUCAGGAAACUGGGGCUAAUACCGGAUAGGAGCUCCUGCUGCAUGGUGGGCGUUGGAAAUUUUCGGCGGGUGGGGAUGGACUGGCGGCUUAUCAGCUUGUUGGUGGGGUAGUGGCUUACCAAGGCUUUGACGGGUAGCCGGCCUGAGAGGGUGACCGGCGACAUUGGGACUGAGAUACGGCCCAGACUCCUACGGGAGGCAGCAGUGGGGAAUAUUGCACAAUGGGAGGAAGCCGGAUGCAGCAACGCCGCGUGCGGGAUGACGGCCUUCGGGUUGUAAACCGCUUUCGCCUGUGACGAAGCGGGAGUGACGGUAAUGGGUAAAGAAGCACCGGCUAACUACGUG